GUUCGGCGGCGGCGAUGGCCAUGGCGGCGGCGGAGGGUAGCGAUGCCAGUACCGGUGCAGGACGGUGGCUGCCGCCGCACUCGCCCUCAGGCCUGGUGCUGCAGACGGUGGAGAUGCACACGGGCGGCGAGCCGCUGCGCAUCAUCCCGCGGCUAGAGGCGGCAGAGGAGGCGGCGGUGGGAGGACUAUCGCUGCUGUCGCUGCGGAGGGAGGUGGCGGCCACCCAGGAUCACGUGCGGCGGGCGCUCAUGCACGAGCCGCGAGGGCACGGCGGCAUGUAUGGGGCGGUGGUGGUGCGAGGAGCGGCUGCCGCUGCUGGCGCCCACCUGGCAGCCCUCUUCCUGCACGGCGCUGGCUACAGCGCUAUGUGCGGCCACGCUGUCAUGGCCCUCGGCCGCUUCGCCCUCGACUAUGGGCUGGUAGCGGCGCCCAGCUGCCCCGAGACCGCUGUCCACCUGCGCUGCCCCUGCGGGCCCGUCACUGCCUUUGUGCCCUGGGACGGCCACCGCAGCGGCAACCCUGUCCGCUUCCACAGUGUGCCUGCCUUUGCUGUCGCCACAGACUUGGCCAUUGACGUCCCUGGUUACGGGAAGGUGAUGGUUGACAUUGGCUAUGGGGGUACUUUCUAUGCCUUCCUCAGCACUGAGCAGCUGGGCCUUGAUGUGUGCUCUUCAAAGACCAGAGACCUUGUCAAUGCGGCAAGUGCAGUGACAGAAGCAGUGAAGAAACAGUUCAAGCUUCAUCACCCUGAAAGCGAAGACCUGGCUUUUCUCUAUGGCACCAUACUGACUGAUGGGAAAGAUACCUUUAGUGAGGAGCCCACCACCAACAUCUGUGUGUUUGCAGAUGAACAGGUUGACCGAAGUCCAACAGGAUCGGGUGUGACAGCUCGCAUCGCCUUGCAGUACCAUAAGGGACUCAUCCAGCUUAAUCAGACCAGAACCUUUCGGAGCAGCACCACAGGAUCCUUGUUCACAGGGAAGGCAGUGAAGGCAAGUGGCUUGUGCUGGACUUUCCUUCUGUCUGGAGGACUGCUGGAAAAGUGCUGUGGCCUUGGCUCAGUGGAGAAGCAGAGAAGCCUUUCUGUGCCUGGGGAAGGGCAUAUGGAAGGAAGGAGGUGCCUGGGGGUUUUGUCUUACCACAGUCUUUCAACGUUUUUAGUUACAAAAGCAAGAAACAGUAAGACUGUUCUAUUGCAUAGCUUCCCUGCAAGUCCUCUCUUGGCUAUCAGGAAAGGACUGGGGUGAGAAGUGUUUAUGUAAAUAAAUUAGCCUGGUCCAUUCUCAGUGGCAGCUGAAGUUGGAUUCCUCGUCUAGUCCCCUCUUCCCUGCUCAAAGGCUGUCUGUAUUGUUCAGAGAUGUAACAGCUGGGUCUGUGCAUCCUGGUUUCCAGGCCCAGCCUUGGCCCUGUGACAUCUGGCAACAUGUGGCCAUGAAGGUCUGAACAUGUCCCAGGGAGAAGUCUUUGAGUGCGAGUGGCCACUGGCUUAUUGGCCUCAUGUGGCAGUGCUGUGGCUCAAGAGCUCAGACCAGUGGCAGCAGCAGUUGUGCAGAGGUGGAGCUCAUGCAGGCAAGGAAGCCAAGUUGGGUGACUACAAUGCUGUUGUUGUGGAAGUCUCGGGAGAAGCCUUUUACAUUGGUAC